GAUGAACGCUGGCGGCGUGCCUAAUACAUGCAAGUCGAGCGAACGGACGAGAAGCUUGCUUCUCUGAUGUUAGCGGCGGACGGGUGAGUAACACGUGGAUAACCUACCUAUAAGACUGGGAUAACUUCGGGAAACCGGAGCUAAUACCGGAUGAUAUUUUGAACCGCAUGGUUCAAAAGUGAAAGACGGUCUUGCUGCCACUUAUAGAUGGAUCCGCGCUGCAUUAGCUAGUUGGUAAGGUAACGGCUUACCAAGGCAACGAUGCAUAGCCGACCUGAGAGGGUGGUCGGCCACACUGGAACUGAGACACGGUCCAGAGUCCUACGGGAGGCAGCAGUAGGGAAUCUUCCGCAAUGGGCGAAAGCCUGACGGAGCAACGCCGCGUGAGUGAUGAAGGUCUUCGGAUCGUAAAACUCUGUUAUUAGGGAAGAACAUAUGUGUAAGUAACUGUGCACAUCUUGGCGGUACCUAAUCAGAAAGCCACGGCUAACUACGUG
rnacentral:rRNA from 1 species